ACGGGGGUGCCAGCAGGCGCGAAAAACUUCACACUGGAGGCCAACUCCGAUGAGGGAAUUCCCUAGUGCUAGCACCAUUAGUGCUAGCUUUUCUUAAGCGUAGAUAACUUAAGGAAUAAGGGCUGGGUAAGACGGGUGCCAGCCUCCGCGGUAAUACCCGCAGCCCAAGUGGUGGUCGAUUUUAUUGAGUCUAAAACGUUCGUAGCCGGUUUGGUAAAUCCUUGGGUAAAUCGAGAGGCUUAACUUUUCGAAUUCCGAGGGAGACUGCCAAACUUGGGACCGGGAGAGGCGAGAGGUACUUCUGGGGUAGGGGUAAAAUCCUGUAAUCCUAGAAGGACCACCGGUGGCGAAGGCGUCUCGCUAGAACGGAUCCGACGGUGAGGGACGAAGCCCUGGGUCGCAAACGGGAUUAGAUACCCCGGUAGUCCAGGGUGUAAACGCUCCAGACUUGGUGUUGGGGGCCCUACGGGGGCGUUCAGUGCCGGAGAGAAGUUGUUAAGUCUGCUACUUGGGGAGUACGUCCACAAGGAUGAAACUUAAGGGAAUUGGCGGGGGAGCAC
rnacentral:rRNA from 1 species